AAUGAACGCUGGCGGCAGGCCUAACACAUGCAAGUCGAACGAGGUAGCAAUACCUAGUGGCGGACGGGUGAGUAACGCGUGGGAACGUGCCCCUUGGUACGGAAUAGCCCUGGGAAACUGGGAGUAAUACCGUAUGUGGUCGAGAGACGAAAGAUUUAUCGCCAAGGGAUCGGCCCGCGUUGGAUUAGGUAGUUGGUGGGGUAAUGGCCUACCAAGCCGACGAUCCAUAGCGGGUUUGAGAGGAUGAUCAGACACACUGGGACUGAGACACGGCCCAGACUCCUACGGGAGGCAGCAGUGGGGAAUCUUAGACAAUGGGGGAAACCCUGAUCUAGCCAUGCCGCGUGAUCGAUGAAGGCCUUAGGGUUGUAAAGAUCUUUCAGUGGGGAAGAUAAUGACGGUACCCACAGAAGAAGCCCCGGCUAACUCCGUGCCAGCAGCCGCGGUAA
rnacentral:rRNA from 1 species